UACGGAGGGGGCUAGCGUUGUUCGGAAUUACUGGGCGUAAAGCGCACGUAGGCGGAUAUUUAAGUCGGGGGUGAAAUCCCGGGGCUCAACCCCGGAACUGCCUUUGAUACUGGGUAUCUGGAGGUCGAGAGAGGCGAGUGGAAUUCCGAGUGUAGAGGUGAAAUUCGUAGAUAUUCGGAGGAACACCAGUGGCGAAGGCGGCUCGCUGGCUCGAUACUGACGCUGAGGUGCGAAAGCGUGGGGAGCAAACAGG
rnacentral:rRNA from 1 species